UACGAAGGGGGCAAGCGUUGUUCGGAAUUACUGGGCGUAAAGGGCGCGUAGGCGGCCUUCUAAGUCGAACGUGAAAUCCCCGGGCUCAACCUGGGAAUGGCAUUGGAUACUGGCAACCUAGAAUGUGGUAGAGGGUGGCGGAAUUCCCGGUGUAGCAGUGAAAUGCGUAGAUAUCGGGAGGAACAUCCGUGGCGAAGGCGGCCACCUGGACCAACAUUGACGCUGAGGCACGAAAGCGUGGGGAGCAAACAGG
rnacentral:rRNA from 1 species